rnacentral:rRNA from 1 species
UACAGAGGGUGCGAGCGUUGUUCGGAAUUAUUGGGCGUAAAGCGCACGUAGGCGGCAUCGCAAGUCCCAUGUGAAAGCCCACGGCUUAACCGUGGAAGUGCAUGGGAAACUGCAGUGCUUGAGUACUUAAGAGGAUCGCGGAAUUCCCGGUGUAGAGGUGAAAUUCGUAGAUAUCGGGAGGAACACCGGGUGGCGAAGGCGGCCUGCUGGGCAGUGGCUGACGCUGAGGCGCGACAGCGUGGGGAGCAAACAGG